AGCUUUGAAGAGUGGCAGUAUCAUAGCCAAUGAGAUUUAUCUGAGGCACAAUAAUUACUAAUUGAAUACUUUUUCCAAAACUGCUAUGGACAAAUGAAUCCUUUGUGCCUCCAGUUUUCCACCUUUAUGGGA
rnacentral:snRNA from 1 species